rnacentral:rRNA from 1 species
GAUGAACGCUGGCGGCGUGCCUAAUACAUGCAAGUCGAGCGAGAAAUGAGCAAAUGAAACUUCGGUAGAUUUUGUUCAUGGACAGCGGCGGACGGGUGAGUAACGCGUAGGCAACCUGCCUCACACAGAGGGAUAGCCAUUGGAAACGAUGAAUAAUACCUCAUGAAACCGGACAACACAUGUUGAUCCGGUCAAAGAUUUAUCGGUGUGAGAUGGGCCCUGCGUCUGAUUAACUAGUUGGUGAGGUAACGGCUCACCAAGGUGACGAUCAGUAGCCGACCUGAGAGGGUGAUCGGCCACAUUGGGAACUGAGACACGGGUCCAAACUUCUACGGAAGGCAGCAGUAGGGAAUCUUGCACAAUGGGCGAAAGCCUGAUGCAGCAACGCCGCGUGAA